ensembl:ncRNA F53B1.12 ncRNA
AUUUCCGAACAGAAACCGUCAUGAGAUGCCAAAAUGAAAUUCUCACAGACGAGCCGCUGUGUCGUCGUUUUCUGUGUCGUUAUUUGGAUGGCAGUCAUCGGGCGCGGCCUCCGCUUCGUUUUCCUCUUCUUCUUCUCCGUUGAGCAAGACAAAAAGAGUGGUGUUGGUGGUGUGUUUGAAGCCAACUGCGGCGGUGGCCAUAGUUCUGGAGCAAGAAGAAGAAGAAAAAGGCGAAAAAAACCAGAGGGAAGAAUGGGAG